GGCAACGUGGCCGAGUGGUCUAAGGCGCUGUGUUCAGGCGAAUCGAUCUGAUUGGUUGAUUUUCAGUAUCGCAGUGGGAAACCGCAAGGGUUCGAAUCCCUUCGUUGUCA
rfam:Dactylellina haptotyla CBS 200.50 unplaced genomic scaffold scaffold00044, whole genome shotgun sequence.